AACGAGAUAGUUUAAUGGUUAGAACAUUAGAAUCAUAAUCUAAUAAUUAUUGGUUCAAGUCCAAUUCUCGUUA
rnacentral:tRNA from 1 species